rnacentral:misc_RNA from 1 species
UCUCAUCUCAUGCAUUGGUGCAGAUAAGACAGGACGAAUACUAAUGAAGAUGGGACUCAAUCCAACAAAUUGCAGAACUGAUCUCCUCAGCAACUUUUUGACAUUAAUGGAUGGCAUCCUUUCAUCUGUGCUUUUAGGCACAACAAUCUUCCAAUGUUCAAAGUCUUCAAAGCAUUGGCGUUGAGAAGCGAAGAAACAUCGGGAUCGGAAAUUGGUUCGAAAUUGAGGAGCUGCCAUUGUCGCCG